rnacentral:rRNA from 1 species
UACAGAGGGUGCGAGCGUUAAUCGGAAUUACUGGGCGUAAAGCGUGCGUAGACGGUUAUGUAAGUCGGGUGUGAAAGCCCCGGGCUCAACCUGGGAAUUGCAUUCGAGACUGCAUAGCUAGGAUGCGGAAGAGGGAAGCGGAAUUUCCGGUGUAGCGGUGAAAUGCGCAGAUAUCGGGAGGAACACCGGUGGCGAAGGCGGUUCUCUGGGCCUGACCUGACGCUGAGGAGCGAAAGCGUGGGGAGCGAACAGG